rnacentral:rRNA from 1 species
GACGAACGCUGGCGGCGUGCUUAACACAUGCAAGUCGAACGAUGAACCCGGAUCUUGCUCCGGUGUAAUAGUCGCUAACGGGUGAGUAACACGUGAGUAACGUGCCCUUGACUCUGGGAUAACUGCGGUAAACUGUAGCUAAUACCGGAUACGACCCUCGGCGGCAUCGCCAGGGGGUGGAAAGAAAUUAGGUCAAGGAUGGACUCGCGGCCCAUCAGGUAGUCGGUGAGGUAACGGCUCACCCAGGCGACGACGGGGAGCCGGCCUGCGAGGGUGACCGGCCACGCUGGGACGGAGCCACGGCCAAGACGCCUACGGGAGGCAGUAGUGGGGGAUAUUGCACAAUGGGCGCAAGCGUGAUGCAGCAACGCCGCGUAAGGGAUGACGGCCUUCGGGUUGUAAACCUCUUUUAGUAGGGAAGAAGCGAAAGUGACGGUACCUGCAGAAAAAGAACCGGCUAACUACGUGCCAGCCGCCGCCGUAA